rnacentral:rRNA from 1 species
UACGUAGGGUGCGAGCGUUAAUCGGAAUUACUGGGCGUAAAGCGUGCGUAGGCGGUUCGUUAAGUCAGCUGUGAAAGCCCCGGGCUCAACCUGGGAACUGCGGUUGAAACUGGCGAACUAGAAUCUGGCAGAGGGGGGUGGAAUUCCACGCGUAGCAGUGAAAUGCGUAGAGAUGUGGAGGAACACCGAUGGCGAAGGCAGCCCCCUGGGCUGAGAUUGACGCUCAGGCACGAAAGCGUGGGGAGCAAACAGG